CCCAGGGCUGUCGUCACACUCUACCAGGGUUGGUCUGUGUGAGCAACAGCAUACAGCAGAAGAGAUAAUAAGCCAUUUCCAAUAUUUGGUUUUAGAAUACUAUAACUUCUGUUUUGAGCUCUCCCUCUCAUCACUCACAGAAGCCAGCGGCCAUGUUGUGAGGACAUUCAGGCAGGCUCUCAAAAGCCCACAAGCAAGGAACUGAGACAUCUAGCCAACAGCUAGCAGGGAACUGAAAUCUGCCAACAGCCAUGUGAGUGAGCUUAGAAGACGCUUCUCCAGUGUCAGUUGAGCCUUGAGACCUCAGCUAAGCUCCUCCUUGACUCCUGACCCUCAGAAACCACUUAAGCUCAUCUCCAGAAACUCUCCACAGUGCUGCAUUGAAUGAGUUAAUGCCCGGCACCAGAAGGUGUUCCAGAGUCUGCUUCAGCAACCUUGCCCUCCAUUCUGAGAUAACAGUCAAGCCCUGAGAGGUUAAGAAACUUGUCCAAAGACACACAGCCAGUAAGAAGGAAAAAAAAGAAAGAAAGAAAAGAAAAAAAGAAACAAGGGAGCACAAGAAUGGCAACAGAGAGAUCUGUAAGGAGAGAUCUAUAUGGACAUACAUUGUUCUGUUUGUCCUAAAUCCCUGAAGUUACCUUAUCUUCAGAACAGCAGCUCUGCAUUCCAAGGGCAUAGGAUGGCAUGCAAAACCGAAAGGGGAACCCGGGAUGAGUGAGGAGUGUGGAAGGAGACUGAGCCCUGCCUGACUGGAGAAACAUGGCAGAGAGAGUGACGCAGAGGUGUGAGCAGCUGACCCAGAACUGGGCACUUGGGUCUGGGGAGACCUUGUCUACUGGCUGGAAGAAGUCUUUGGCUAAAUGACCCCUGCAGCCACUAUGCCUGAUGCUGAAGAAGAGGCAAGGAAGGCAAAUGGACCACGCUUAGAGGCAGCAGCUAAUGGCAUUCCCAGAGAGAAGUGCGCUUGUGGCGCUGGCUGCCCCGGGCUUCCUCUAAAAGCUCACCUCCGGGACUUGCCUUUUUAACAUCCUCCAGGGCCCAGCCCACCACAGUGAGGAAGUGUAUAGAACUACCACUAACUGAGAGCUUAUCAUGCAAGGCAUCUGGCUACUCACUUUAAAGAUCUGAGUCCAGCUGAGUCUCCCCAGAUAUCUACGGAGAAGGCAAUUUGGACCUAAAGCUAUGAAUUAGGAAGUAAUCUACCACCUAACUGCAACUUAAGCCUCCCCCGACACUCUGGCCCCACCCGCUGCUGCAGCAUGAGGUCACCGCUAGCCAAUCACGGAGCGCCCGACAGAAUGCCUCAGGCACUGAUUGGCUGCAUAGGCCGCCUCUGCCUCUCCCGACUCCGCUUACUAAGCUCUCCUAGCCGCUGUCGGGCGAGAAGACGGAAACCGCCAUUUCGGGGAAAGACCCCGAAAACAAUUGGAAUCACCGUGUCAUUUUAGUGGGGAAACCCUUUAUUCUUUGGCCUCCCCUUUAU